CGAGUUUGAUCCUGGCUCAGAUUGAACGCUGGCGGCAUGCCUUACACAUGCAAGUCGAACGGUAACGCGGGGCAACCUGGCGACGAGUGGCGAACGGGUGAGUAAUGCAUCGGAACGUGCCCAGUAGUGGGGGAUAGCCCGGCGAAAGCCGGAUUAAUACCGCAUACGACCUACGGGUGAAAGCGGGGGACCGCAAGGCCUCGCGCUAUUGGAGCGGCCGAUGUCAGAUUAGGUAGUUGGUGGGGUAAAGGCCUACCAAGCCGACGAUCUGUAGCUGGUCUGAGAGGACGACCAGCCACACUGGGACUGAGACACGGCCCAGACUCCUACGGGAGGCAGCAGUGGGGAAUUUUGGACAAUGGGCGCAAGCCUGAUCCAGCCAUGCCGCGUGCGGGAAGAAGGCCUUCGGGUUGUAAACCGCUUUUGUCAGGGAAGAAAUGUCCUGGGCUAAUACCCCGGGAAGAUGACGGUACCUGAAGAAUAAGCACCGGCUAACUACGUGCCAGCAGCCGCGGUAAUACGUAGGGUGCAAGCGUUAAUCGGAAUUACUGGGCGUAAAGCGUGCGCAGGCGGUCUUGCAAGACAGAUGUGAAAUCCCCGGGCUUAACCUGGGAACUGCAUUUGUGACUGCAAGGCUGGAGUGCGGCAGAGGGGGAUGGAAUUCCGCGUGUAGCAGUGAAAUG
rnacentral:rRNA from 1 species